GUCAGAGUGGCAUUGUGGUUUGAGUAUUGGAUUAUGGUUUUAGAGACCAGGGUUCAAAUUCCCGCUUGGUCA